rnacentral:sRNA from 1 species
AAGUGACUGAUCCGAAGAGCCGGUGUAAGGGGUGUCAGAGCCGGCCGCGCAGGAUGUAUGAGACGCAACCCCAGUGUCCUCCGGGUCUGCCCUUUUAU